CCUACGGGGGGCAGCAGUAGGGAAUAUUGCUCAAUGGGGGAAACCCUGAAGCAGCAACGCCGCGUGGAGGAUGAAGGUUUUCGGAUUGUAAACUCCUUUUGUUAGAGAAGAUAAUGACGGUAUCUAACGAAUAAGCACCGGCUAACAACUUGCCAGCAGCCGCGGUAAUACGGAGGGUGAAAGCGUUACUCGGAAUCACUGGGCGGAAAGAGCGCGUAGGCGGGAUAGCAAGUCAGAUGUGAAAUCCUAGGGCUUAACCAUAGAAAUGCAUUUGAAACUGGUAUUCUAGAGUAUGGUAGAGGUAGGUGGAAUUCUUGGUGUAGGGGUAAAAUCCGUAGAUAUCAAGAGGAAUACUCAUUGCGAAGGCGACCUGCUAGAACAUAACUGACGCUGAUGCGCGAAAGCGUGGGGAGCAAACAGGAUUAGAUACCCGUGUAGUC
rnacentral:rRNA from 1 species